AAGAAACCGGCGGAAGAGAAGAAGACGGUAGCGGAGAAAGCUCCGGCAGAGAAAAAGCCGAAGGCCGGCAAAAAGCUACCUAAAGAAGGCGGCGCAGUGGCUGCGGACAAGAAGAAGAAGCGCACGAAGAAGAGCAUAGAAACUUACAAGAUCUACAUCUUCAAGGUUCUGAAGCAAGUGCACCCUGAUAUAGGGAUCUCUAGCAAGGCCAUGGGCAUAAUGAACUCUUUUAUCAACGAUAUCUUCGAGAAGCUUGCACAGGAAUCCUCGAGACUUGCUAGGUACAACAAGAAACCCACUAUUACUUCGAGGGAGAUACAGACUGCAGUGAAAUUGGUGCUUCCUGGGGAGUUGGCUAAGCACGCUGUUUCUGAGGGUACCAAGGCUGUUACCAAGUUUACUAGUUCUUGAAUUAGGUGUAGCGUUUUAGGUGGUUUGGGUUUCGUGAUUAAAUGGUAAAAUUAGGAUAUUUUCUUCGUUUAGAGUCGGUUAGUUUUCCCUUUUUAGAGUGAGCAGUGUGGCUGUAAUGAUAUAUUCACAAGUGAUAUGAAUGAAUUAUAGUACGGAUCAAAAAAAAAAAGGGAAAACU
rnacentral:misc_RNA from 1 species